rnacentral:rRNA from 1 species
GACGAACGCUGGCGGCGUGCUUAACACAUGCAAGUCGAACGGAAAGGCCCUGCUUUUGUGGGGUGCUCGAGUGGCGAACGGGUGAGUAACACGUGAGUAACCUGCCCUUGACUUUGGGAUAACUUCAGGAAACUGGGGCUAAUACCGGAUAGGAGCUCCUGCUGCAUGGUGGGGGUUGGAAAGUUUCGGCGGUUGGGGAUGGACUCGCGGCUUAUCAGCUUGUUGGUGGGGUAGUGGCUUACCAAGGCUUUGACGGGUAGCCGGCCUGAGAGGGUGACCGGCCACAUUGGGACUGAGAUACGGCCCGGACUCCUACGGGAGGCAGCAGUGGGGAAUAUUGCACAAUGGGCGGAAGCCUAAUGCAGCAACGCCGCGUGCGGGAUGACGGCCUUCGGGUUGUAAACCGCUUUCGCCUGUGACGAAGCGUGAGUGACGGUAAUGGGUAAAGAAGCACCGGCUAACUACGUG